rnacentral:tRNA from 2 species
GGGCCGAUAGUUCAGAGGAAGAAUACCUCAUUUGCAAUGAGGAGAUCGUGGGUUCGAGUCCCACUCGGUCCA